CAUUAGAGACUAUUCCACAAUGUGUUUUACAAAGGGAAUACUUCAAGAUGAGGAGGACCUGCUAUGGCAAGGAGGACUGGGGGACUGUCAAAUGGAGAGGAGCAACCAUGCACCAUCCAGUUCAACGUGAUGGCAGUAGCUGUGGGGUCAUUGUUACCAUGAUGGCAAGAGCAGUGAUGGAGGCCUUUCCUGCAUUACCAAUUAUGUCCUUUGGGACAUCCAAAAAGGAGAUGGCUUGUGAGAGGAGAAAGUUUGCACUUUCAAUACUCAAUGGUUCAGUGUUUCACAUGGAGAACAACUGUGCAAUGUGCUCUGCCUCAAAGCCCCCAGGAUCUGGGCCUCCCACUACAGAUUGGGUGAGUAUUUGUCGUAGUGUAGUUAUAAUAGGGCUUCAUCAUAUUCUAAUCAAAUUCAAUUUAUGAUAUUAGAUGUAUUUAUAAAACUGUUGAGUCACUGGGUCUAUCCAGAUCAGGCGGUC